rnacentral:ncRNA from 1 species
ACCUUGAAAAGCCACGCCCAUUCUUGACCAGGGCACGGAAAGUCACGGGUCUUCGCAAGCAAAAGACAGCCGGACUGCCAAG